rnacentral:rRNA from 1 species
GGUUAAGCGACUAAGCGUACACGGUGGAUGCCCUGGCAGUCAGAGGCGAUGAAGGACGUGCUAAUCUGCGAAAAGCGUCGGUAAGGUGAUAUGAACCGUUAUAACCGGCGAUGUCCGAAUGGGGAAACCCAGUGCAAUUCGUUGCACUAUCGUUAACUGAAUACAUAGGUUAACGAGGCGAACCGGGGGAACUGAAACAUCUAAGUACCCCGAGGAAAAGAAAUCAACCGAGAUUCCCCCAGUAGCGGCGAGCGAACGGGGAGCAGCCCAGAGUCUGAAUCAGCUUGUGUGUUAGUGGAACGGUCUGGAAAGUCCGACGGUACAGGGUGAUAGUCCCGUACACCAAAAUGCACAGGUUGUGAACUCGAAGAGUAGGGCGGGACACGUGGUAUCCUGUCUGAAUAUGGGGGGACCAUCCUCCAAGGCUAAAUACUCCUGACUGACCGAUAGUGAACCAGUACCGUGAGGGAAAGGCGAAAAGAACCCCGGCGAGGGGAGUGAAAAAGAACCUGAAACCGUGUACGUACAAGCAGUGGGAGCACCUUCGGGUGUGACUGCGUACCUUUUGUAUAAUGGGUCAGCGACUUAUAUUCUGUAGCAAGGUUAACCGUAUAGGGGAGCCGCAGGGAAACCGAGUCUUAACUGGGCGUUAAGUUGCAGGGUAUAGACCCGAAACCCGGUGAUCUAGCCAUGGGCAGGUUGAAGGUUGGGUAACACUAACUGGAGGACCGAACCGACUAAUGUUGAAAAAUUAGCGGAUGACUUGUGGCUGGGGGUGAAAGGCCAAUCAAACCGGGAGAUAGCUGGUUCUCCCCGAAAGCUAUUUAGGUAGCGCCUCGUGAACUCAUCUUCGGGGGUAGAGCACUGUUUCGGCUAGGGGGUCAUCCCGACUUACCAACCCGAUGCAAACUACGAAUACCGAAGAAUGUUAUCACGGGAGACACACGGCGGGUGCUAACGUCCGUCGUGAAGAGGGAAACAACCCAGACCGCCAGCUAAGGUCCCAAAGUCAUGGUUAAGUGGGAAACGAUGUGGGAAGGCACAGACAGCCAGGAUGUUGGCUUAGAAGCAGCCAUCAUUUAAAGAAAGCGUAAUAGCUCACUGGUCGAGUCGGCCUGCGCGGAAGAUGUAACGGGGCUAAACCAUGCACCGAAGCUGCGGCAGCGACACUAUGUGUUGUUGGGUAGGGGAGCGUUCUGUAAGCCUGCGAAGGUG